UUGAUAGUACCUUACUACUUGGAUAACCGUGGUAAUUCUAGAGCUAAUACAUGCUAAAAACCCCAACUUCGGGAGGGGUGUAUUUAUUAGAUAAAAAACCAAUGCCCUUCGGGGCUCCUUGGUGAUUCAUGAUAACUUCUCAGAUCGCAUGGCUUUACGCCGGCGACGGUUCAUUCAAAUUUCUGCCCUAUCAACUUUCGAUGGUAAGGUAGUGGCUUACCAUGGUUUCAACGGGUAACGGGGAAUUAGGGUUCGAUUCCGGAGAGGGAGCCUGAGAAACGGCUACCACAUCCAAGGAAGGCAGCAGGCGCGCAAAUUACCCAAUUCCGAUACGGAGAGGUAGUGACAAUAAAUACUGAUACAGGGCUCUUUUGGGUCUUGUAAUUGGAAUGAGUACAAUUUAAACCUCUUAACGAGGAACAAUUGGAGGGCAAGUCUGGUGCCAGCAGCCGCGGUAAUUCCAGCUCCAAUAGCGUAUAUUAAAGUUGUUGCAGUUAAAAAGCUCGUAGUUGAACCUUUGGCCUGGCUGGCAGGUCCGCCUCACCGCGUGCACUUGUCCGGCCGGGCCUUUUCUUCUGGAGAACCGCAUGCCCUUCACUGGGUGUGUUGGGGACCAGGACUUUUACUUUGAAAAAAUUAGAGUGUUCAAAGCAGGCCUUUGCUCGAAUACGUUAGCAUGGAAUAAUAGAAUAGGACGUGCGGUCCUAUUUUGUUGGUUUCUAGGACCGCCGUAAUGAUUAAUAGGGACAGUCGGGGGCAUCAGUAUUCAUUGUCAGAGGUGAAAUUCUUGGAUUAUUGAAGACUAACUACUGCGAAAGCAUUUGCCAAGGAUGUUUUUCAUUAUCAGUGAACGAAAGUUAGGGGAUCGGAGGAC
rnacentral:rRNA from 1 species